rnacentral:rRNA from 1 species
AUUGAACGCUGGCGGCAGGCCUAACACAUGCAAGUCGAACGGUAACAGGAAGAAGCUUGCUUCUUUGCUGACGAGUGGCGGACGGGUGAGUAAUGUCUGGGAAACUUCCUGAUGGAGGGGGAUAACUACUGGAAACGGUAGCUAAUACCGCAUAACGUCGCAAGACCAAAGAGGGGGACCUUCGGGCCUCUUGCCAUCGGAUGUGCCCAGAUGGGAUUAGCUAGUAGGUGGGGUAACGGCUCACCUAGGCGACGAUCCCUAGCUGGUCUGAGAGGAUGACCAGCCACACUGGAACUGAGACACGGUCCAGACUCCUACGGGAGGCAGCAGUGGGGAAUAUUGCACAAUGGGCGCAAGCCUGAUGCAGCCAUGCCGCGUGUAUGAAGAAGGCCUUCGGGUUGUAAAGUACUUUCAGCGGGGAGGAAGGGAGUAAAGUUAAUACCUUUACUCAUUGACGUUACCCGCAGAAGAAGCACCGGCUAACUCCGUG